GACGAACGCUGGCGGCGUGCUUAACACAUGCAAGUCGAACGGAAAGGCCCUGCUUUUGUGGGGUGCUCGAGUGGCGAACGGGUGAGUAACACGUGGGUAACCUGCCCUUGACUUUGGGAUAACUUCAGGAAACUGGGGCUAAUACCGGAUAGGAGCUCCUGCUGCAUGGUGGGGGUUGGAAAGUUUCGGCGGUUGGGGAUGGACUCGCGGCUUAUCAGCUUGUUGGUGGGGUAGUGGCUUACCAAGGCAUUGACGGGUAUCCGGCCUGUGAGGGUGACCGGGCACAUUGGGACUGCGGUACGGCCCAGACUCCAACGGGAGGCAGCAGGGGGGAAUAUUGCACAAUGGGCGGAAGCCUGAUGCAGCAACGCCGCGUGCGGGAUGACGGCCUUCGGGUUGUAAACCGCUUUCGCCUGUGACGAAGCGUGAGUGACGGUAAUGGGUAAAGAAGCACCGGCUAACUACGUG
rnacentral:rRNA from 1 species